GUUAUACAGGUAUGUGAAAUUGUGUAAAAAGAGCUUAAAACAGGGAGUUAGAUGACAGUUUUUCCAAUUAUUGUCUUUCCUUUUCAGAGGUGUCUGCUGGAAAGGGAAGGUGAUGAUGCUCACAGAUGAUACUGGCAGUGACCUAAGGAAGGAGAAAAAGCAACAGAAAUAAGGUCUUGUUAAAAGACCGCUUGACAUAAGAGUCUUUAGUCAGAGAGCACAUACAGACUUCUUGUAUUUUUAAAUGGAAAUUGGAAGACUAUCAUCAUGAUUUGGAAAACAAUAA